rnacentral:rRNA from 1 species
AUUGAACGCUGGCGGCAUGCCUUACACAUGCAAGUCGAACGGUAACAGGUCUUCGGAUGCUGACGAGUGGCGAACGGGUGAGUAAUACAUCGGAACGUGCCUAGUAGUGGGGGAUAACUACUCGAAAGAGUGGCUAAUACCGCAUGAGAUCUACGGAUGAAAGCAGGGGAUCGCAAGACCUUGUGCUACUAGAGCGGCCGAUGGCAGAUUAGGUAGUUGGUGGGAUAAAAGCUUACCAAGCCGACGAUCUGUAGCUGGUCUGAGAGGACGAUCAGCCACACUGGGACUGUGACACGGCCCAGACUCCUACGGGAGGCAGCAGUGGGGAAUUUUGGACAAUGGGCGCAAGCCUGAUCCAGCAAUGCCGCGUGCAGGAUGAAGGCCUUCGGGUUGUAAACUGCUUUUGGACGGAACGAAAAGCCCUGGGUUAAUACCCUGGGGUCAUGACGGUACCGUAAGAAUAAGCACCGGCUAACUACGUGCCAGCCGCCGCAGUAA